rnacentral:misc_RNA from 1 species
AACGCACAUUGCGCCCGGCAGUAAUCUGCCGGGCAUGCCUGUCCGAGCGUCAUUUCACCCCUCGAGCCGCUUUUAGUGGAUCGGUGUUGGGGCACUACGGUAAAACAUAGGCCCCGAAAUGAAGUGGCGGUCCCGCCGCGGUGCCCCCAUGCGUAGUAACGUUUAGUCUCGCAUCGGGUCCCGGCGGAGGCCUGCCGUCAAGCCUAUUUAUUCUUAGAAUAGUUUGACCUCGGAUCAGGUAGGGUUACCCGCUGAACUUAA